GUCUGAUUACAUUUCAGGCUAGACCGAUCCCAUUGUGGACCUUGACUGGAAUUAGCUUGCCUAGUCCAAAAGGCUACAUUUGCAUUUUCAAAGCCUUUCAGACUCAAUCCAAAGUCGGCCCGACCGACCCAAUAAUCUUGUCUAUUUUAUUGGUCCUUGGAACCUCCAACAUUAACUGAAAUACUACCCCUAUUCAUGGCAAAGUUUGAGGGUGAUGGUUAUGUGACAACAAAAGCCAACCAAAGUGAAGCAGAACCUCUCACAUUCAUACAUAUACUUUGCCAUGAAUAGCCAAACUAGUUGCAGAUCUAAUUAAGCCCCCUAUAUAUGCCUCCUUGGCCCAUCCCUAGUUUAAUUAUCAUCCUCUUCUCUUCUCCUCUCUCUGUGAGUGUUCAAUUUGUAUACAAGAAUGGGUUAUAAGUGGUGGCUGGUUUUCUUCCUGUUAGCUGUGGCCAUUGUUACUAAGUCUGAAUCUGAUGAUACUCCUGCUGGCUUUGGCUGGGGUCUCUCCGAAUUUAGCAGGGAUAAUGGAUGCAGUGACGAUCCUGAUUGUUUUGAUCUUGAAUCCAAAAUGAUGAUAAAUAGCGAGCUCGAUCCAUCUUUGGGUUUUGGCUUAAACGUCAAUAGGGAACACUAACUAAUAUUUAUGUACAUAAAAUAAAGGAAAGCUGCUCUUUAACCAUAUGGUUAUGGAAGAACUCCAUGUAUGCCUCCAUUUCAAUGUGUAACGUAUGUUCUUCAUUUCAAU
rnacentral:misc_RNA from 1 species